AAAGGUAAGCUACUAAGAGCGAAUGGUGGAUGCCUUGACUGGUAAAGGCGAUGAAGGACGUACUAGACUGCGAUAAGCUACGGGGAGCUGUCAAGAAGCUUUGAUCCGUAGAUUUCCGAAUGGGGCAACCCAAUGUAUAGAGAUAUACAUUACCUAUAUAGGAGCGAACGAGGGGAAUUGAAACAUCUUAGUACCCUCAGGAAAAGAAAUCAAUAGAGAUUGCGUCAGUAGCGGCGAGCGAAAGCGCAAGAGGGCAAACCCAGUGCUUGCACUGGGGGUUGUAGGACUGCAAUGUGCAAGAGGUAAGUUUAGCAGAACAUUCUGGAAAGUAUAACCAUAGAGGGUGAUAGUCCCGUAUGCGAAAAACAAACCUUAGCUAGCAGUAUCCUGAGUAGGGCGGGACACGAGGAAUCCUGUCUGAAUCUGGGUCGACCACGAUCCAACCCUAAAUACUAAUACCAGAUCGAUAGUGCACAAGUACCGUGAGGGAAAGGUGAAAAGAACUGAGGUGAUCAGAGUGAAAUAGAACCUGAAACCAUUUGCUUACAAUCAUUCAGAGCCCUAUGUAGCAAUACAGGGUGAUGGACUGCCUUUUGCAUAAUGAGCCUGCGAGUUGUGGUGUCUGGCAAGGUUAAGCAAACGCGAAGCCGUAGCGAAAGCGAGUCUGAAUAGGGCGCUUAGUCAGAUGCUGCAGACCCGAAACGAAGUGAUCUAUCCAUGAGCAAGUUGAAGCUAGUGUAAGAACUAGUGGAGGACUGAACCCAUAGGCGUUGAAAAGCCCCGGGAUGACUUGUGGAUAGGGGUGAAAGGCCAAUCAAACUUCGUGAUAGCUGGUUCUCUCCGAAAUAUAUUUAGGUAUAGCGUUGUGUCGUAAUAUAAGGGGGUAGAGCACUGAAUGGGCUAGGGCAUACACCAAUGUACCAA
rnacentral:rRNA from 1 species